GUCCACGCCCUAAACGAUGUCAACUAGUUGUUGGUAGAGUAAAAUCUAUGAGUAACGCAGCUAACGCGUGAAGUUGACCGCCUGGGGAGUACUAUCGCAAGAUUAAAACUCAAAUGAAUUGACGGGGGCCCGCACAAGCGGUGGAUUAUGUGGAUUAAUUCGAUGCAACGCUAAAACCUUACCUGGCCUUGACAUGUACCGAAUUUACCAGAGAUGGUUUAGUGCUCGAAAGAGAACGGUAACACAGGUGCUGCAUGGCUGUCGU
rnacentral:rRNA from 1 species